rfam:Salmo salar isolate Sally breed double haploid chromosome ssa13, whole genome shotgun sequence.
AUCCCUGUGGCUCAGUUGGUAGAGCAUGGUGUUUGCAACGCCAGCAUGGUGUGUGCAACGCCAGGGUUGUGGGUUCGAUCCCCACGGGGGGCC